GGGCCCGUAGCUCAGCCCGGAUAGAGCGGCGGGUCUUCUAAGCCGUAGGUCGUGGGUUCGAAUCCCAUCGGGCCCGCCA
rnacentral:tRNA from 1 species